rnacentral:rRNA from 1 species
GACGAACGCUGGCGGCGUGCUUAACACAUGCAAGUCGAACGAAGUGGCGCACGGGUGAGUAAUACGUGGGUAACCUGCCCUCCUUUUUGGGACAAGCCUGGGAAACGGGGCCUACUACCGCAUAAAGGGGGAUGGGCUCGCGGCCUAUCAGCUUGUUGGUGGGGUGAUGGCCUACCACGGCGGUGACGGGUAGCCGGCCUGAGAGGGUGACCGUCAACAUGGGAACGGAGAUACGGCCCAGACGUGUACGGGAGGCGGCAGUGGGGGAUAUUGCAAAAUGCGCUAGAGCCCGCUGCGGCGGCGUCGCAUGUGUAUUGAAGGCUGUGAGUUUGUAAACGGCUUAGGCAGACGAACCGGUAGGGAGAGAAGAAGCGCCGGCUAACGACGUGCCAGCAGCCGCGGUAAUUC